UGCUGACAUCCACACCACUGGAUCAGUGGGUUCCAGUGGUUAAUCUCCCUGAACGGUGAUGGCAUCUGAAUGAAAAUAACUGAACCAAAUUGCACUGAAGUUUUUGAAAUACCUUUGUAAUUACUCAAGCCGUUACUCCCUACACUGACGCAAGGAUUACAGAAACUGAUGUCGCACAAGGCCAUACCUAGGUAUGAUGGAGUUUAUAAAGGAGUAUGUAAUUGCAGAAUCAGGCUUAACCCAAGGACAGCAACAGAGCUGAUGUUUCACACAUCUCUUUGUUGUCAUCAUUGACAGUUUGCUCGCCUUACUCAAAACACUGCCUCCUAAACAUUAAGAGAUAC
rnacentral:lncRNA from 1 species